rnacentral:tRNA from 1 species
GGGGGUGUGGCUCAAUGGCAGAGUGCUUGCCCAGCAUGCAUGAGGUCCUGGAUCCAAUCCCCAACACCA